rnacentral:rRNA from 1 species
CCUACGGUCGGCAGCAGUGGGGGAUAUUGCACAAUGGGGGAAACCCUGAUGCAGCGACGCCGCGUGUGGGAAGACGGUCCUCUGGAUUGUAAACCACUGUCCCCAGGGACGAAGAUGACGGUACCUGGGAGGAAGCCCCGGCUAAAUACGUGCCAGCAGCCGCGGGUAUACGUAGGGAGCGAGCGGUUUCCGGAAUUACGUGGGGUUAAGGGAGCGUAGGCGGGACUGCAAGUUGGGUGUCAAAUCUACCGGCUCAACCGGUAGCCGCACUCAAAACUGCAGUUCUUGAGUGAAGUAGAGGCAGGCGGAAGUCCUAGUGUAGCGGUGAAAUGCGUAGAGAUUAGGAGGAACACCAGUGGCGAAGGCGGCCUGCUGGGCUUUUACUGACGCUGAGGCUCGAAAGUGUGGGGAGCAAACAGGAUUAGAUACCCGAGUAGUC